AAACAGAACCCCAGACGGCAGUCCAAACGUGGAUUUCCUCUAAAACAGAACCCCAAACCUGGGUUCUCCUGUGAAACAGAACCUCAAACGUGGGUUCCCUGUCAAACAGAACCCCAGACAACAGUCCUAACGUAGGUUCAAACAGAACCCCAGAUGGCAGUCCAAAUGUGGGUGAAUGGAAAAGCAGUGACAGCUGAGAUGCUUGAUUAAAAAGAAGCGAAAGGAGAGGUUCCAUAUGUGCAUUUGUCUAUUUCUCUCCACGAGGGACCGCACGGGAAAUCUGCGUUCUCAAGUUCGGCUUCACGCACCUUCAUCUGGGCCUGACUGUAUCAACAUAUCUUUCAUACAAUGUGGCUUUAGCCAAUCAGUGUAGACGUUGGAGUGAAACCGCACCCCAUUGAACACACAGUUCUCUACACUUUUAAGGAUUCUUCGCUUGACCUGACGCACCCACGUACAGUACGUCGUAGUUUUCGAAAACCGUUAAAUUAUACGGUGAAAGUGAAAACGUGCAGGGGCCCAGGUGAAGUUGAAGAUGGAUGGCACCGCCAUUAUCCCCGACCUCCGCCUUUCGAAUGGAAGUCAGUGUGCGAGGUGGCCGAGCUCGCUGAGGGAAACCGCACCCGUGCCCUUUGCUUUCCCUGCUCAGAGAGGAGAAGGAUGAACGUUCUCCUGACUGGAGAGUAGCAAACGCUGUAAUUUACAUCAGAAGGUUCAUCUUCAGGCUCGGAGUGAUUUUUUAAUGCAUCUGACUGCAGUGCAUUUCCCUUAAUGGUUACAAGAGAGAGAGAGACAACAUCCACCAGCACACAGAGCGACAGACCCCCUGUAUGGAAGUGACUAGUGGGACAAACAGCCAUUGCGCUUGGAGGGAAGCAUCCUGAUUGGUCAGAGUUUGUACAGCAGAGAGUUCAGUGUUGCAUCAUUUAAACCACCGAAGUGUCUGGAUUGCAUCAUAUUAAUCUCUUAUUCAAAUAAAUACGCUCAGGAGCUGGGUACCAGGCGCCUCCAAACCGACAAAUUAAACUGAGAAAUGAAUAUGCAUGAAAACAGAAAAUUUUGCCAGCCCCAGAUGUUUUUGUGCAUGUGAUGUGGUGAA